UACGUAGGGGGCAAGCGUUGUCCGGAAUCAUUGGGCGUAAAGAGCGUGUAGGCGGCCCGGUAAGUCCGCUGUGAAAGUCCAGGGCUCAACCCUGGGAUGCCGGUGGAUACUGUCGGGCUCGAGUCCGGAAGAGGAGUGUGGAAUUCCGGGUGUAGCGGUGGAAUGCGUAGAGAUCCGGAAGAACACCAGUGGCGAAGGCGGUCUGCUGGGCAGUGGACUCGAGAGAGUCCUUCAACCGACACUGAGGCGCGACAGCGUGGGGAGCAAACAGG
rnacentral:rRNA from 1 species